rnacentral:rRNA from 1 species
AGAUUGAACGCUGGCGGCAUGCUUUACACAUGCAAGUCGAACGGUAACAGGCCGCAAGGUGCUGACGAGUGGCGAACGGGUGAGUAAUGUAUCGGAACGUGCCCAGUCGUGGGGGAUAACGCAGCGAAAGCUGCGCUAAUACCGCAUACGAUCUAUGGAUGAAUGGCGGGGGACCGUAAGGCCUCGCGCGAUUGGAGCGGCCGAUAUCAGAUUAGGUAGUGGUGGGGUAAAGGCUCACCAAGCCAACGAUCUGUAGCUGGUCUGAGAGG